rnacentral:rRNA from 1 species
UUUGGAAGGUUGAAUCCUGGCUCAGAUUGAACGCUGGCGGCAAGGCUUAAACACAUGCAAGUCGAGCGGGGAAGAGUAGCUUGCUACUUUACCUAGCGGCGGACGGGUGAGUAAUGCUUAGGAAUCUGCCUAUUAGUGGGGGACAACAUCUCGAAAGGGAUGCUAAUACCGCAUACGUCCUACGGGAGAAAGCAGGGGACCUUCGGGCCUUGCGCUAAUAGAUGAGCCUAAGUCGGAUUAGCUAGUUGGUGGGGUAAAGGCCUACCAAGGCGACGAUCUGUAGCGGGUCUGAGAGGAUGAUCCGCCACACUGGGACUGAGACACGGCCCAGACUCCUACGGGAGGCAGCAGUGGGGAAUAUUGGACAAUGGGGGGAACCCUGAUCCAGCCAUGCCGCGUGUGUGAAGAAGGCCUUUUGGUUGUAAAGCACUUUAAGCGAGGAGGAGGCUACCGAGAUUAAUACUCUUGGAUAGUGGACGUUACUCGCAGAAUAAGCACCGGCUAACUCUGUGCCAGCAGCCGCGGUAAUACAGAGGGUGCAAGCGUUAAUCGGAUUUACUGGGCGUAAAGCGCGCGUAGGUGGCCAAUUAAGUCAAAUGUGAAAUCCCCGAGCUUAACUUGGGAAUUGCAUUCGAUACUGGUUGGCUAGAGUAUGGGAGAGGAUGGUAGAAUUCCAGGUGUAGCGGUGAAAUGCGUAGAGAUCUGGAGGAAUACCGAUGGCGAAGGCAGCCAUCUGGCCUAAUACUGACACCUGAGGUGCCGAAAAGCCCAUUAGGACGCC